rnacentral:rRNA from 1 species
AUGAAUUUCUUAUUUUGGGGACCCGGCCAAUAUUUCUUUCCUUUUACUUUUGAUAUUUUUUUUCAACAGCCACGUGACCUGAUUGACUUGCAAAAGGAAAGAACCACGUCGGGGAUCAUGCCCCUAAAUAUGCACCAUGUUAUUUCGUGGUCAACACUUUCCAAUAACCACAAUAUCACGAAGUUAAUUGAUGGCUUUAUAUGGAAAACUGGUACACACAAAAAAUCUUCCAAAAGGCAGGAAUCAAUUAGUCAUUUGGUACCCGAACAAAACCACCUUUUUUCUCUCUUUCCAAACGUGAUCUUGCCAAACAAACAAACCAAUCCACACUUUCCUUCUCUCUUUGCAUGGAGAGACCAAACUGCAGUUUUUUUCCUCCUUUCUUUUCAAUCUGGCCGAUCCACUUAUUUUUUUUUCAAAAACCAAUGUGGCUGA